UACGUAGGCAGCAAGCGUUGUUCGGAAUUACUGGGCGUAAAGAGUGUGUAGGCGGUGUUGUAAGUCUGGUGUGAAAUCUCCCGGCUUAACUGGGAGGGGGCGGCGGAAACUGGAAUGCUAGAGGAUGGGAGAGGUAAGCGGAAUUCCUGGUGUAGCGGUGAAAUGCGUAGAUAUCAGGAGGAACACCUGUGGUGUAGACAGCUUACUGGACCAUUUCUGACGCUGAGACACGAAAGCGUGGGUAGCAAACAGG
rnacentral:rRNA from 1 species